rnacentral:tRNA from 1 species
GUCUGGCUGGCUCAGUCAGUAGAGCAUGUGACUCAAUCUCAGGGUUGUGAGUUCAAGCCCCACGUUGGGCA